GGAAAAUGCAGUACACAAUGUGAUAAUUAUCAGUGAUUGUUUGCGAAAAAUAAGUUCAGCUCAACUUUCAAUGUUUUUAGUAGACUUUUGAUUUCCGCGAGAAAGGGUAAAAUGGUUCAGGAAGAGAAUUGUUAAAGCUGGGUCAUGGUAAUUGGAUUCAGCCACUGAUGGUUGAAAGGUGGAAGAGGAGAGCAAGCAGUAAGCCACAUUUGGAAAAGCAGAAGAGAAAAGCAGAAAGUCAAGUAUCAUCAGAUUCCACUAAAGCGUCUCAUGUAAAAAGCAAAGACGAGAAAGCCCCAGUAACUGCUUACAGAAAAAUAAGGUCCAAAUCAGA